AUUUAUGUUGAAAGCAAUUAACCCGAUGUGACCGGGUCGUAAGCGGUAUGCUUGAAUCUCAUUAUGAGAGUAUAUGCCAUUACCCCUUUAAUUGGGUAAUCGAAUGUGUAAAGGAAAUGAAAGUAUAUGAGCAAAUGGAACUAAAAUGUUAGUAUUGUAAGCGAAAUAAGUAUUAUGACUAACUUUCAAAAUGGGAAGGGCAAGUGUUUGCAAGAAAACACUGGAACAGUGAAGCGAUGAGAUCGUAAGCAUGUCUGAAUUGAAAAGGAGUACAAACAUGUACCUCGAUACGUAUGUAUAUAUAAAUAAUAAGAAUGAUAUAUUAAGAAAUGGCCAUGUAUUGACUCGUUAUGAAUAGGUCUAACACACUAAUGUCUUAAGAAGAAUUGAGAAAGUAUUGAUAUAUAAAUGAGGUGAUGUGAUAAACAACAUGUCUGAAUGAGAUCGAAUGAAAUGUGUAAAUCACAAAUUUUAUAAUGAGAUUGGCAGUAAUCAUGAUGCAAUAAAGCUACCUAGGACGGUGAAAGAAUGCUCAUGAAUGGAAGCUCAUGUUACCAGAUGGACAAGAUUAACCCUGUUAAGAUACGGGUUCGUGAAGGAGCAAGUCAACUCGGGUUGUUACACGUUGGCUCGUGCCAAAUUAGCGAGGUUAGUAAAUGGUUUAACUUGUGGAUGUUAAAUAGAAAGUUACAUAUUGAAUAAUACUUCUAUGCGAACUGGUGGUACUGAAUUGAGUGAUCGUAACUGUGGAAAUUCUGAUAGAAUAUAAGAAACGACAAGUAUCGAUAAGAAAUGCUAACCUUGAUGCUCGGCUUGUUGGCCAUGUUCAUUUGAACAAGGCAUUGUAGAAAAGAUAUGCAUGACAUAGAUAACAAUAGUAACCAUGGAAAUAAUGCUUAGUCUUCAUGUUAAGUACGGAUAAGUAGGUGUAAAAAGGGUGAUUUCGGUUGUAAUAAUAAGUCUUUGAAUGAUUGCAGUAGGCGUAUGAUAAUAUAUCGACCCUUCCUAUGAGCUUAAAGCUAAUCAGAGGUAAUGAUAGUAAUGGAAUGUUUAGGAUAGCUCAUAGUGAACAAAAUAAAAGAUAGCAUAUGAUGUAUGAGUAGUAUGAAAUAAAUCGAUUUAUUUUGAUUAGUAAAUGUAUGAAUGUAAUAUGGUUAAAUAGGAAGCUAGAAACAAGUUGUGACCUUAGGUCUUUACGAGUAAUAAUUGUAUACAUUUGGAAUAAGUUCAAUAAAUGAAAUGCUAGUGAUAGUAUGUACUAGAAACUAGCAAUAUAAAGUGAAAGACACUAAUAAGAGCUCUGGAUCAGACCCUGACCUCGUGUGAUUAUGAAAGUAAAUUACUAAUUUAAGAAGAUAAGGACAAUGCGUACGAUCAUAAUUAUGCAUGAUUAAGACUUUUGCAAAGACCCCGAAUGACUUAUGUUGUAAUGUGCCCAUUGAAUGAGUACAAUAGAAAGGUAAGAGUAAGAACGAGAAAGGUUUCGGGGACGAAACCUUCUUUAAGGGGGGUAGACUUGUAACACCCCAAAAUUCGAAUUAUUAAAUUCGUUAGCAUGUUGCCAUGUUUAAUAAAAUGAGAUACAAUAACUAAGUUAAUAAACCUAGUUAAAUGCCUAUUAGAUAAGCUAAAUGAUGAAACUUGUGGCAUUUAUGAUAGUAAGUUAAACUUGAGGGACUUAGAGUGCCAAACUUGGAAGUUUAAUUUAUUAAAACAAAAAUCACACACACAUCCACACAACGUGUGCGUGUGAUCGAGCAGGAGAAAAGGGGAAGGGGUGUAAACCCUAACCCACAUGAAAUCAUCAAAUUGGAAAAGGAUUUGAGGGUUAAUUGGAUGCAUGAACCAAGAUUUAUGAUCACUCAAGCAUUCUUGACACCAAGAUAGGAAUCCCAAAUUGACAUGGACUCAAGUAUGGAAAGCUAACGGGUCAAGCGGAGGUGAGGAAGCAAGCAUGAACACUAACGCUUAAGGUAAGUGAUUCCGUAAUCACUUCUUAGUUGUUUAUGUAAUGUUAUAUGCAAUUUAAUUAUAUGUGAUAAUUGAGGUCGAAUAGGAAUGAAUUGUAUGAUGUCAAUGGAGUAUUAAACGGAUUUUAGUUUUGAUCCGAGCAAGGUAGGUGUGAUUAAGAAAUAGUAGCUAAGUAGUGGAAUUGGUUACUUAUGUAAGGAAUUCCUUUGUUAUUAAGGAUAGAGCAUAGUUGACUAAAAUGCCCUUGAUAGGUAUAUCGGGCAAACGACCUUAGAAGUCGUUUGGAAACGAGCUAUUCGAUUAGAGUAAUGUCUUGGACAAGUAUGAAAGCGAAGUAUAGGGUUUGGUAUGUCAUAGUCCACUUAAUGCGCAAAUACCCAUAACGGGUCAAAAAUAAGCCUUUGAGCGAAAAUGGGUUAAGAGGAUGCAAGAAGUCCGAGAAUUUAAUCUUUUAUGAUAGGUGCCAAUGAAAUUAUUAAAGUUCAUAUGAGAUUGAGGUCAAAUAAACAGAUUAUGUUGAUAAAUGCACGAACGGGUCAAUUAGUUAGAAAAUGAUAAUAUGUCGAAUGCACGUAAGUUAAGAAUUUCCUUAAUCCGGAGGUAGGAUUUCAAGUUAAUAUGAUAGAAUGUGAAUUUACAAGCAUGUAGGAAGAAACGGGAGGUUAAACGGGUAAACGGUUUAAAAGUUAUGCAAGUUUUAGUGGGUGUUUUGUAUCUGCACCCGGAGUAUGGAACGCCGGGUUUGGGAGUAUGGAACGCCGGGCAGAAACCCAAACGCCCAUGCUUCACUGUCAAACGCUGGUUCCAUGUUAAAGUGAACGUCGGGGUGUUCCAAACAAGCCUAGAUCACUUUCCUUGAGUUCCUUUGAUGUGUGUAAAGCUCCAUGUGAUAGGUUUAUGAUCCGGAAUCAUCACGUAACCUUCCACCACUACCCUACAUGUAAAAAUGCAUCAAAGUAACAUGUCUCGAUACAAAUUUGAUGCUAAAACAUGUAAAUAUUAACCACUUAGGCGUACCAAAAGCAUAUGCAUCAGAUAUGUACGUAUGUAUGUAGGUAUAAAUAUGAUUGUAUGUAGAUAUGUAGGUGCGUAUGAUCAGACGUAUAGAUAUAUGAAUGCACGAAGUAGGAUUUAUCGUCUAUGAAAAGAAUGGGACAGGUAUGCAUGUAUACAUGGUUUCAAUACGUUUGAGUAUGGACAUUACUAAUGAUGUGCUUGAGAUUGAAAUGUAAUGCAGGAAUGAGAACGUCAGACUCUUGUAGAAUUGAAGCCGAACCUUGAAGCCGAACUCGGAACAAAGGAAUCCGAGAGGAUAGUCGAAUGAAUCAAAGUUUAUGUUGUCGAAUGUUAUAUGAUUUUUUUUAAUUUGUAUCAGAUUAUUGUUGUAUGACGUUGUCAAUGACUAAUGGUUAAGUUGUAUGUGGCGUCCACAGGUACUACACGGAUUUCUUCUGCUGCUAAGGAAGUGAAGCGGACGUAGAUCGAGUCAAGAGCAAGGAUUGUACGGAUAGAUCGGUCACAUAGUUGAAAGACAGAGAGAGAGGUUGAGAUUGACGACCGUGGUGGUAUCCGGCCGAUGACAGAGGCUUCUAGGGUUUCGAGGAGUGUCAGACGCUUCAGAGGAGAUGGAUUAACGUUGGAGGAACAAAGAUGGCGGACCUACCGGCGGCGACGAAGAUGGCAGCGGUAUGGACUUUUCGAUGCUCGGCGAGAAGCUUAUCUGUUCAGUCUGUUCCGCAAGAUCUCUCGGUUUUCUUCCGUCGAAUUCUGAUCGUCCUGAGGUCCCGGAGCGGUCUGCAGCUGCAACAACUAUAAGUCGUGCGCCUGCUUCAGUCCCUCCGCAUCGAAGGCAUAAUAUAAUCUCUUCGAGCGAUGAAGAGCUUAGUUCUAUAUAUGGAAGUGAGCCUUCUAAUUAAUCACUGGAAGAACUUGAGGAAGAAUCCUGUCGUUCCGUUGUGAUUGUAUCGGCGGCAAGUUCUUAGGACAUGUGUUCAGCUAUAAUCUUAGAACUGGGGAUACGUAUGAAACGAUUGCACAAGAGAGGUAUGCUAAAUUGACAACUGAAGACUGGAUUCAGAGGUUUAAUAGUUAUGAUUCUCAUAGAUUACUUGAUACGGCUAAUGUUAAUGUGACGGUUAAUUGUUCGUGUGGAAAUCGUAAGAUUUCAAAGGAUUAUGGUUUGUUUUUGACUCAUCCUCUUCGUCCGGGGGAGAAUCUGGAGUCGAUUUCAUAUGCAGCGAAUCUUAGUUCAGACUUAAUUCGGAGUUAUAAUCCAGAUGAAAAUGGAAAUUAUCCACCCUUUAAAACCAGAGGGAUUUUGACUGGCAAGUGUAAUUAUUUCAGGGGUCAUGACUACAUGUAUUUGGUGAGAAUAAUGAAUAUGAAACGAUGACAUGUAUGAUGGCGAGUACUUUGUAGACAAAAUGCAUUGGGUGAAACUGAAACGGGUCAAACUGGUUGAAGGUUGUCAGUAUGUCAUUAAUUUGUUGUACCCAACCCGAACCUACCCAUUACUUGACCCGUCUACUGUGCCACCACUACUUCUUCGUAGAAAAUGCCAGUUGAUCUGUGAUUUUUGUUCUGCAACAGGUCCAACAUUUUAAAACUAAAGGUGGCAUUGCAUUGAACAACAACUUUGAGAGAAUGAGGUUACAUGUAUGCUUUCUAACUAUCCAUCCAUCAUCAGACCUUCAAAUCGCUCCACCGAUCUUUGUUUUAGUCUGACAUGAUGGUUUUUGUUGCUGUAUUUGAAUUAACCAUGUGGUCGACUUG